UGACCGCUGGCGGUAGGCCUAACACAUGCAAGUCGAACGGCAGCACAGUAAGAGCUUGCUCUUACGGGUGGCGAGUGGCGGACGGGUGAGGAAUACAUCGGAAUCUACUUUUUCGUGGGGGAUAACGUAGGGAAACUUACGCUAAUACCGCAUACGACCUACGGGUGAAAGCAGGGGAUCUUCGGACCUUGCGCGAUUGAAAGAGCCGAUGUCGGAUUAGCUAGUUGGCGGGGUAAAGGCCCACCAAGGCGACGAUCCGUAGCUGGUCUGAGAGGAUGAUCAGCCACACUGGAACUGAGACACGGUCCAGACUCCUACGGGAGGCAGCAGUGGGGAAUAUUGGACAAUGGGCGCAAGCCUGAUCCAGCCAUACCGCGUGGGUGAAGAAGGCCUUCGGGUUGUAAAGCCCUUUUGUUGGGAAAGAAAAGCAGCAGGUUAAUACCCCGCUGUUCUGACGGUACCCAAAGAAUAAGCACCGGCUAACUUCGUG
rnacentral:rRNA from 1 species